rnacentral:rRNA from 1 species
AGGACGAACGCUGGCGGCGUGCUUAACACAUGCAAGUCGUGGGGGGGUAGCAAUACCUCACCGGCGAACGGGUGCGUAACACGUGAGCAACCUACCUCGAUGCGGGGGAUAGCCGGCCCAACGGCCGGGUAAUACCGCAUACGAUCUCUUGGAGGAGUCGUCCGGGAGAAGAAACCCGUUACGGGGCAUUGAGAGGGCUCGCGGCCUAUCAGCUAGUUGGCGAGGUAACGGCUCACCAAGGCGAUGACGGGU